rnacentral:rRNA from 1 species
GUGCCAGCAGCCGCGGUAAUACGUAGGUGACGAGCGUUAUCCGGAAUUACUGGGCGUAAAGCGCACGCAAGCGGUCUGACAAGUCUGGCGUGAAAUCCCCUGGCUUAACCAGGGGCGGUCGCUGGAAACGGUCAGGCUUGAGGCGAUGAGAGGGGUGCAGAAUUCCCGGUGUAGUGGUGGAAUGCGUAGAGAUCGGGAGGAAUACCAGUGGCGAAAGCGGCACCCUGGCGUCGUACUGACGCACAUGUGCGAAAGCGUGGGGAGCGAACGGGAUUAGAUACCCCCGUAGUCC